rnacentral:rRNA from 1 species
GGGUUGUGAGGUUAAGCGACUAAGCGUACACGGUGGAUGCCCUGGCAGUCAGAGGCGAUGAAGGACGUGCUAAUCUGCGAUAAGCGUCGGUGAGGUGAUAUGAACCGUUAUAACCGGCGAUUUCCGAAUGGGGAAACCCAGUGUGUUUCGACACACUAUCAUUAACUGAAUCCAUAGGUUAAUGAGGCGAACCGGGGGAACUGAAACAUCUAAGUACCCCGAGGAAAAGAAAUCAACCGAGAUUCCCCCAGUAGCGGCGAGCGAACGGGGAGGAGCCCAGAGCCUGAAUCAGUGUGUGUGUUAGUGGAAGCGUCUGGAAAGGCGCGCGAUACAGGGUG